rnacentral:lncRNA from 1 species
GUGGCUGUUAGAAUUUGAAAUUUAAAUCCAAUGAACAUGAGUAGAUCACCGAUGCAACAUUUAUUUUUAUGUUUAUUUUCUUCUUUUUUUUUCUUUAAUAAAAAUGAGGAUAAUAGAUUUGGGUUUAGACAAUUGGGCUUUGGGUGUUUUUCCAACCUAUGAUUGCACCCCUAAUUUCACUUUGCUUUAUUAAUUACUAUUGUUUUAUUUUUCUAGUUUAAUUAAUUAAUUAAUUUUAAUUGAUAAUUGGAUUAUUAGAUUUUU